CUGCUUGGCUGAAUAUCUCUCAAGGCCCCAGGGCUGGCCGGCCCCUGUGCCCUGACGGGUGUCUGGUGGCCCAGGACGAGGCCCACCGCCCAGGGACAGGACAGGGGAGGGGCCGGGCGCUGCACUGGUCAGUGCUGCGGAGGAGAAACAGCUCACAGCGCACACGCGAGGACCCUGCACGGCUCAGCUGGGACGUGGAGACAUUUGGGCCUGGAGGAGGUACCUAUUUCAGUACCUCUAGAGACUUCCAGACAAUAUCACCGGGAUUUGAGAGUUUACGGGUCAUUUUGGCUGUGUUAGAAGGUGAGACACUGCUCCUCCUGGAGUAACUUAUAUGGAGCUCAAGGUCUGAACCCUCAGGAAUUCCACCUGCAGAAAGGUGAACACAUUUCAGGCGUCCUCGGCUCCUUCAGGCAUUUCCUCUCCUACUUGGUUGUACACACCAGCCUACGGC
ensembl:lncRNA